rnacentral:misc_RNA from 1 species
CAACAGCUUCACAGAAGCAGCUAUGGAUGUUUUUGAGUUCAAACCAGAGGACGAGCAGCCUUCGGAAAACGAGGCGAAUAGGUUUUGCAACAACUAUACAAUCACUGAAAAUGGUGCGCUAGGAACAAAUAUGAACUCGAAGGGGACUGGUGAUGAACCAUCUGAAGAUAUUGAAGCAGCUGACAGUGAUUUUAAUGGUAACCAUGCUCUCUCAAGUCUGGAUGCAGAAGGUUGUGGUGAUGAGAGAAUGCUGAGGUUGGGCAGCACGCCAAAUAUUACUUCAACAAACAAAAGACGAUUUCCUGAUAGAGAACCUAACAAUCACGUAGGUGGAAGUUUCUUGGAAGGCAGUUCAUAUAGAGGGACAGAUUGUCAAGAGAUUUUCUCUGGACCUCAUUCCAAUGAUGAAUCAGUAGGUGCAGUUUCUGAUGAAAGCCCAAGUGAGGAAUCGGCAUCCUACUCAUCUGCUACUCCAGAAAAUCAUGACAUCUUAGAUGGACCAUUAUCAAAUCACCACUUUGACCACUGGGGAAUGUUUGAAAACAGCUCGAUUGUUUUCUGUCCCGAUUAUCUCUAUUAUCAAGGAACAUCCUACGUAGUGACAGAUACUACAGUAACCUUUUCCAGUAAUUGUGUGGAGGUCAAAGGCUCAACAAUGAACGAGGAUUCGGGAGCUUUUUACGUUCGCUUUGAAGUUGAAGACAUAUUCCAAAUUCAAGCACGUUUGUCAGGAAGGUUUGACGUAGCUGUGUUUAUGAUCCAUGUUAAUAAAAGACCAACAGCACAAGGUGAAAAUGCUCAAGAGACUUCUGGUAUUGAGGAGGUGGAGUUUGCUGUUAAUGAUUUUGACUUGUCUGAGAAGUGUGAAGCAAUUCAAUCUUUGGAUGUCUACAAGGCAGUAUGGAACUACCACAGUGAGAAUGAAGAAUGGAGAGAGAAUUCACAAGGGGAAACAUCAAAUCAGCUACCUAAGAAAUAUUUUCCAAGUUACACUGAGCCGCUUGAAGAAGUUAUUUAUCCUAAAGGGGAUCCUGAUGCUAUUUGCAUUAGUAAGAGGG